rnacentral:rRNA from 1 species
AGCUCCAAUAGCGUAUAUUAAAGUUGUUGCAGUUAAAAAGCUCGUAGUUGGAUUUCUGGUGAGAUGGAUUAUGUCUAGGUCGAAAGAUCUUGUUCAUGGUUCGUUUUGCCCUUCUUGUCAGGAACCCGCUGAGAUUCGCGUCUUGUCGGUGGAAUGGCAUCGUUUACUGUGAAAAAAUUAGAGUGUUCAAAGCAGGCAUUCAUCGUGCCCGAAUACAUGAGCAUGGAAUAAUGGAACAGGACUACGGUCACUGCACUUUUUCCGUUGGUUUCGGAGGACCGAAGUAAUGAUUAAGAGGGACAGUUGGGGGCAUCCGUAUUUCGUAGUCAGAGGUGAAAUUCUUGGAUCUGCGAAAGACGAACGAGUGCGAAAGCAUUUGCCAAGAGUGUUUUCAUUAAUC